CUUGAGCGAACCGAGCCACAACGGCCGCCCCUCCGGCCGGUCCUGACCGUAGGUGGCCAGCAACGCCUGCGCCUC
rfam:Streptomyces sp. CMAA 1322 contig12, whole genome shotgun sequence.